GGAAAGUCUUUGGCCAAAAGUUAGAAGAUGUUGCAUCAGUCUGUGUAUAUAUGGCAGAUGGAACACAAGUGACUGUGCCAGAGUUUCUUGUAGAUGUUUGUAACCUCAUCCGAAGAAACAUCACUGUUGAGGGCAUUUUUCGGAAGGCUGGUUCCUCUCAAAGACAGAGUGAUCUAAAGAAGCUGAUUGACAGCAACAAUGGUCUUCCGACCAAUGUCCAUGUAAUAGAUGGUGCUUGCCUUCUAAAACAGUUUUUGAGAUGUCUCCCUGAGCACUUCUAACUUCAGAUGUACAUUCUAAAAUCAUUAAAUGCAUGGAUUUAUCAGAGGAGUUCAGGAUAGAAGCUGUAACAUUAUGCACAUUACUACUUCCUGAGAGACACAGGCACACAUUGAUCUACCUUAUGGAUUUCCUGACAGAAGUGGUUGCAUCUAGUGGAAGUAACCUAAUGGAUGCUCAUAAUUUGGCGAUAGUUUUGGCUCCAAAUCUUUUGCCCACGACUAUCACCCCAACAACAAGGAGGAAGAAUUUCCAGAAUAUGCCAUCAGAAGAUGUUCUUCUAACUACCAAUAUUGAAAUACUA